AUGAUGCCCAGCUUGCUGGGUUGAUUAGUGGCGAACGGGUGAGUAACACGUGAGUAACCUGCCCCUGACUCUGGGAUAAGCGUUGGAAACGACGUCUAAUACUGGAUAUGAUCGCCGGCCGCAUGGUCUGGUGGUGGAAAGAUUUUUUGGUUGGGGAUGGACUCGCGGCCUAUCAGCUUGUUGGUGAGGUAAUGGCUCACCAAGGCGACGACGGGUAGCCGGCCUGAGAGGGUGACCGGCCACACUGGGACUGAGACACGGCCCAGACUCCUACGGGAGGCAGCAGUGGGGAAUAUUGCACAAUGGGCGAAAGCCUGAUGCAGCAACGCCGCGUGAGGGAUGACGGCCUUCGGGUUGUAAACCUCUUUUAGUAGGGAAGAAGCGAAAGUGACGGUACCUGCAGAAAAAGCACCGGCUAACUACGUGCCAGCAGCCGCGGUAAUACGUAGGGUGCAAGCGUUGUCCGGAAUUAUUGGGCGUAAAGAGCUCGUAGGCGGUUUGUCGCGUCUGCUGUGAAAUCCCGAGGCUCAACCUCGGGCUUGCAGUGNGUACGGGCAGACUAGAGUGCGGUAGGGGAGAUUGGAAUUCCUGGUGUAGCGGUGGAAUGCGCAGAUAUCAGGAGGAACACCGAUGGCGAAGGCAGAUCUCUGGGCCGUAACUGACGCUGAGGAGCGAAAGCAUGGGGAGCGAACAGGAUUAGAUACCCUGNNAGUCCAUGCCGUAAACGUUGGGCGCUAGAUGUNGGGACCUUUNCNCGGUUUCUGUGUCGUAGCUNACGCAUUAAGCNCCCCNCCUGGGGNAGUAC
rnacentral:rRNA from 1 species